AUGGGACUGAGACACGGCCCAUACUCCUACGGGAGGCAGCAGUGAGGAAUCUUCCACAAUGGGCGAAAGCCUGAUGGAGCGACACCGCGUGAAGGAUGACACCUUUGUUGGCGUAAACUUCUUUUCUCUUGGAAGAUAAUGACGGUACAAGAGGAAUAAGGGGCGGCAAACUUCGUGCCAGCAGCCGCGGUAAUACGAAGGCCCCAAGCGUUAUCCGGAAUUACUGGGCGUAAAGCGUCUGUAGGUGGUUUAGAAAGUCUUAUAUGAAACUCCGAUGGCUCAACCUCGGAUUGUAUAGGAAACUUUUAGACUUGAGUGUGGGAGAGGCAAGCAGAACGGUAUGAGUAGGGGUGCAAUCCGUUGAUACAUACCAGAAUACCAAAAGCGAAGGCAGCUUGCUGGAACACUACUGACACUGAGAGACGAAAGCGUGGGGAGCGAAAGGGAUUAGAUACCCCUGUAGUCCACGCCCUAAACGAUGAAUGCUAAGUGUUGGGCUUUGACCCAGUGCUUUAAGUUAACACAUUAAGCAUUCCGCCUGAGGAGUACGGCCGCAAGGUUAAAACUCAAAUGAAUAGACGGGGACCUGCACAAGCAGUGGAUCAUGGGGUUUAAUUCGACAAUAAACGAGGAACCUCACCUAGGCUUGACAUUGAUAGAAUUUGCUAGAAAUAGCGAAGUGCCCGUAAGGGAACUUGAAAACAGGCGCUGCAUGGUUGUCGUCAGCUCGUGCCUUGAGGUGUUCGGUUAAGUCCGUUAACGAGCGCAACCCAUGUCGUUAGUUACUCUGUCUAACGAGACUGCUUGAGUUAAUCAAGAGGAAGGUGUGGAUGACGUCAAAUCAGCAUGGCCCUUAUGCCUAGGGCUACACCCAUGAUACAAUGGUCGGUACAAAGAGUCGCGAUACAGUGAUGUGGAGCUAAUCUCAUAAAGCCGAUCUCAGUCCGGAUUGAAGUCUGCAACUCGACUUCAUGAAGUUGGAAUUGCUAGUAAUCGUGAAUCAGAUAUGUCACGGUGAAUCUGUUCCCAGGUCUUGUACUCACCGCCCGUCAAACCAUGGGAGGUGUAGGUACCUGAAUAUCCGUACGUGAACGUGCGGAUGGACUAUCUCUUUAUCAUAUUAUUAGGUUUUAU
rnacentral:rRNA from 1 species